UAACCUUGUUUGUGAAAGCAAGCUGAACGUACAGAAGUCAGCAGAAGCCAUAGUACGUUACGUGUUGCAACACGAGCGGAAGGGC
rfam:Paenibacillus swuensis strain DY6, complete genome.